AUUGAACGCUGGCGGCAUGCCUUACACAUGCAAGUCGAACGGCAGCACGGGAGCAAUCCUGGUGGCGAGUGGCGAACGGGUGAGUAAUAUAUCGGAACGUGCCCAGUCGUGGGGAUAACGUAGCGAAAGCUACGCUAAUACCGCAUACGAUCUAUGGAUGAAAGCGGGGGAUCGCAAGACCUCGCGCGAUUGGAGCGGCCGAUAUCAGAUUAGGUAGUUGGUGAGGUAAAGGCUCACCAAGCCGACGAUCUGUAGCUGGUCUGAGAGGACGACCAGCCACACUGGGACUGAGACACGGCCCAGACUCCUACGGGAGGCAGCAGUGGGGAAUUUUGGACAAUGGGGGGCAACCCUGAUCCAGCAAUGCCGCGUGAGUGAAGAAGGCC
rnacentral:rRNA from 1 species